rnacentral:lncRNA from 1 species
UUUCUUAACAAUAUUCUUAAUUAAGCACAUGAAAUCCUCAAUUAAAUUGUUAAGAUAAAGGAAAUUAUACUCUAGUGUUUUGUAUUCAUCAAAAUCCAUUAGGGGGUCAACAAUCUCCCCCUUUUUGAUGAUGACAAAACACUGAGUAUAUGCAAAAUUCGAAAUUUAAACAUAUACACAGUAUUUGAUCAGAUGUACAAGUAUAGUGUUUUGAUCAGUUCUUCCCUUAUGCAUAAGUAUUGGUCUUAGUAGCUCUUGAGCAAUUUUGGUAUAUCAACUGAAUUUGAAUCAAGUUAAAUUGUAAAUUACUGAAAUAUUGAUGCUAAAGACAAUUGAAAGCUAAGUACUUUUUGACUCCCCCUUUCUUUUCCAGAAGGGCAAUUAUCUUAAAGCCAAUAUUCUUCAAUUUUAUCUUUUCUAAUUCAAAUUUUAAGUAUGAGUAUAAAUUUUGCAUUCCAUAUUUAGGUUUUACUCCAUAUACUCCAUAUAUAGGUUCUAUAUAUCUACUCCCCCUUUUUGUCAUCAACAAUGAACGGGACAAAUUAUCCUUAGGUACUUAAAACACAAUUCCUAGUGGAAUUCAGCUGUAAUAACCCCAAAUUUUUUUUUUAUAUAUAAAAAGGGAUAGAAUAGUCCUUUAAAAUUGAUAUAGGGGUAAAAUAGGAAGGAAUCAAAAGAUAAUGGCAUAGUUGUAGAUGCGUUGAAGUGGUAAGGGUAAAAUUGGAAGGAAUCAAAAGUUAAUGGCAUAACGGUAGAUAUGUUGAAGUGUUAGGGGCAAAAUGGGAAUUUAAUAAUAUUAAACAAAGGUGAAUAGUGCUUUGAUGUGAUUUAAUUGGAGGAUUUGAGCUGGCUUUUGGAAUGAAACCGAGAGAAAGAGGGAGGGGGUUCUCAGGCGACAGAGAGGAAAAAAAAGGAAGAAGAGGAGAGGAAAUGAAGAAAGGAAGAGGAAGAAGAAGAAGAAAAAGAAAGCAAAAGGGAUCCCGGUUGCACUUCCAGCUGCAGGGAAAAGUGUAGAUCUCCUUCCCCUCUACGCAAGGACCUCGAUUUCCAAAAAGAAAAAGGUAAAUAUCCAUCCUUAUCUAGUCUUUUGAUGACAUUAGGCUAUACAAAGGGUGGAUAUAGUCUAGAGGGGUCGGAUAAGGGUUGUAGAGGUGGUUAAAAGAAGAAGAAUCGGAUUUUGACAAAUUUUUCCGGCACUACGGAAAAACUGUGUCGAAGUCCCAACUUCGGCAAAUUAUUUAGGGGGUCAAACGGCCUCCGAUGAUGAUGCAUGUUUACCUCUUUGGAAUCCUCUAUGAGUGUAGAAUGUUAGGUAAAAAUUUCAUCAAAUUUGGAGUUUGGAAAGUGGAUCAAAACCAGAAUAAAGUAACUCACUGUCAGUCC